rnacentral:rRNA from 1 species
CUAAUACAUGCAAGUCGAGGGGCAGCAGGUUCGACAUUAGUUGGAUGCUGGCGACCGGCGAACGGGUGAGUAACGCGUACGGAACUUGCCCCCGAGCAGGGGAUAGCCCCGGGAAACUGGGAUUAAUACCCUAUGGUAUCACAUCAAUGCAUGUUGAAGUGAUUAAAGCUACGGCGCUUGGGGAUAGUCGUGCGCCCCAUUAGCUAGUUGGUAGGGUAACGGCCUACCAAGGCGACGAUGGGUAGGGGGCGUGAGAGCGUGGCCCCCCACACGGGUACUGAGACACGGACCCGACUCCUACGGGAGGCAGCAGUAAGGAAUAUUGGACAAUGGGCGCAAGCCUGAUCCAGCCAUCCCGCGUGCAGGAAGACGGCCCUUAGGGUUGUAAACUGCUUUUGCAGAGGAAGAACAGGUAGGACUUGUUCUACUGUAUGACGGUACUCUGCGAAUAAGCACCGGCUAAUUCCGUGCCAGCAGCCCGCGGUAAUACGGAAGGUGCAAGCGUUAUCCGGAAUCACUGGGUUUAAAGGGUGCGUAGGCGGCAUGAUAAGUCAGAGGUGAAAGCCCACAGCUUAACUGUGGAAUUGCCUUUGAUACUGUUGUGCUUGAAACAGGUUGA